AGGGAGCGUCUCGUCCCUCCCCUCGGUUAAGGGGGGGGUUAUUUCCCUCGCUGCUCGUUACACGCAGUGGGAGGCGCGUUUCGGUACCAAAUGGCUGCCUGGAUGCAGUCUCCUGCCAGCCGCCUACGGCUUCUUCCUGCUGGCUGAGCAGUCCCGAGGCCUGUGUCACUGUGUUUUUGUCCCUCAGGGAGCGACGAAAUGAGCUUUGCGGAGGGGUGCCAGGAGCUGGGGCUUUGCAGGGAGUAGUUCUGUGGAAGCGCAGCCGCAAGUGCUCCCAGUCCAGAGAAUAACUUAAAGCAGCGAACUUUAAGUUAUUAUAUUAUAUAUAAAGCAGCGGUGUUCUUGCAAUCAUCUGCAGUAAGGUAACUGCAGAGUGCAAAACACGUUCUUUUGAGUAGCAUCGCUCCAGUGUCCUAAAGCUGAAUAAACGCUGAAAUAACACUUCCGAGAGAAAUGGCUACUUUGAUUUCUCUAUUAACGUUUUUUUUUUUUUUCCUAUUCGAAAUUUUAACAGAAUUGCCUAAAUAUAAGGCAGUUUUCUGAAAGCUGGAUUUUUGCUAACCUUUUAUUUUGCGUAACAGUUUAAAAUGUUGAAGGUAUUUUUAGCAUCGUUAUUGCCUUGGUUUGCUCAAUUCUUGAUUUCUUGGCUGCCAGGUGCGGCUACUGGUUUUGUACUCAGUACAGCAGAAGCACUUCACUAGGAAACUGACCGCUGCAGCAAAACAUGAAAGAAAUCCUACCUUAAGGCACAGGAGUUCAGUUUCCAGAACAGCUGACGGAACUUCUGCCCACACACUGAAGACAGGAAUCAACAAUGAUUGCAGGGAUCCUGUCUUCACAGGAGAGCCCUUCUCCUUCCUCUGGCUGCCGGCCUGCAUAGGAAUGCAGGCAAGUCCCUGCACACUCCUGACAUCUCCACUUGCUGAGUCUGCCAAACAUUUUGUAAUGUUCAAUCUGCUCAUUGACCUGAGGACAAAGGAAAACGUACAGCACUAGCCUGCACCCCACAGUGGUCUUGGAAGUAACUGUAAAUCCCCCAUAACCACGGGCAAAGAGACCUCCCCACCAACACGUGCCCUGUGACGCUGACCUCUAAAUCCAGUUUGUGGUUCACAGGCCAGUUAUUCUGGUUUGUGGGGUCUUUUCUUAGAGAGACUAGCCAGCCUGAGGAGGAGCCAGCAGGAAGGGGGGGGGUUGAUAGCCACCUUGGAGGGAGUAUUUGGGGGCAUCACCAGUUUGGGGUGAUUUGGAGGGAAUAUUCAGCUGGAGGUGAUUUGGGGGGAAAUAGCCAGCUUGCAUGGUACAAUUAGGAGUGAUAGCUUGCUGGGGGAAAUAGUUGGUGGGGGGACAGCCAACUUCAGGGAUUUGAAUUUGGGUGGGAAUAUACAGUUUGGGAGGGCACCCACCCACCUUGGGGGAUGGGAUUUGGGGGAAAUGGCAAGGAAGGGGAAACUGGGGGGGGAAGGGUUAGACUGGGGCGUGUAGAAAGGAUUACCUGCUGUGCCCUGCCCUAAUGAGUUACCUGUUCUUCUACAAGCUUGAUACUGAUUGCUUUGUGUCUGCCUAGAGCUGCAAACUAGGGCCUGAGCACUCUCCUGGAAUGCACUAGGAGCAGCAAUCACCAAAAGUCCUGAUUUAAGGAAACUUCAACCUAGGAGAUGAGAAAGGCCUCAGGAGACAAAAAGGACUGGAGCCAAUCUAAUGCCUGCACCUUGCCUGCCAGAAGCCCUGCUGUGCGUGGCAAUGAAGAGACUCCACAAGUACGAACUGCUGUUGAUGACAGUAGAUAACAUCCUCUUGAGAAGAUGCAAAUCCUUGAACCUGGCAACCUUGUUACCAUUGGUGGAUGAAGGGGAACCACAUCAUGGCUGCAUAGAGGUAACCUAGAAUCAAGAAAAGAUGACCUUUUCUUGAUCUGUAAGACCAAGGUAGUAUGGCACCGUGACCCAGAACAGAUUACUAACAGCAGAGCGUAUUUCUCCUAAACACAAUGCUCAAGCAGGUAAGUUAAUAACCCUGACAUAAAUCUGCAGGGAAGCAGAAUGGUAAAAAGAGACCAUCCAUAUGUAAUAGAAAUACGCUUUUGAUACCUUCCAUGCUGCAGGACAGCUGUGGAAACAGAGGUUUCAUGACCUCUAGUGGCGGACAGACAGCAAAUGCUCAAUAGAUUGAGAAUUUGUUAGCAGUUAUUAACCUUCCACUUCGAAGAGAUCAGUGUGAUGCAUCAGACAACCCACAAUAAAGAAAAGACUGAUUUAUAAAAAGUAGGCACCAAUGCAAACACUAGAGCCAAAGCAAUAGCAAGACAGCCUUUGGGAAAAAAUCAAAUAUCAGGAGACUCUUACUAAUUUGCUAAUUUUAUAUGAACAAAUAGCAAAAGAAGAAAUAGAAGAAUGGAAAAGACUGGGUGCACAGAUAGAUAAAAGAAGAAGUAAAUCAGGUUUACCAAUUUUGCCCAAAAGGUACUUGAUUACAAUGGCAAAAAUCCAUCACCAACUAAAUCAUUUUGAACAUACAGCAUUGGCAAAGACAAUUCUGAAAGGACUGGUGUGCCUCAGGAAUUUACGUUGCAGCAAAACAGGUGACUAAAAUUUGCCCAGUUUCUCAGGUCUACAGUUUGAAGGUGGACAAGGAGGAAAAGACUCUUGGAGACAAACCAUGGGCUACUUUCCCGUUCCAAAACCUGCAAGUAGAUUAUACAAUGUUGAAGACACAUUAUGUGCAUGUCAAAGGGAUACAAAUACAUGUUAGUAAUUAUUGACUAGUCAGGUGUUGCAAAUAGAUUUUUACACAACUUUGAUUUAGCAACAAUCUAAGAUUUAUUAAUACUUUUAUGGUAAGUCACAAUAUUAGAUUGUAUUAUUCUUAAUAGCACUUAAUGUGCAUUUAAUCAUCAGCCAAUUUAACACAAUAAUUCAAAGGAAUUUGCUACAAUUGAAACUGUGACUUGGCUAACGGUUUGAGAAUGGCAAGGUUCAUACGAGACUUACUGCAGGGUAUUGGGAGGGGGAGGUCUAAAGUCAGUUUUGUGCUUACAAUCUUCCUCCAUUUUUGGUAAAUUACUCACUCUUCUCCCUCAUUGGCCUUUGCCUGCAGGUCAGCCUUGACACUCAAGGCGUCAGCCCUGAGAGACACCCCACCUCAGAAGUGUCCCAGCUUAGGGACACUGAGGGUCACAGCCUGCUGUGAUCCCUGGAGAGCUCUAUAAUUUCUCCACGGGGGAUUUCAAUGGGUACCUGCUUUAAGACAGUACCCCCUUUGUUCAUGGUCAUGGCUUUGAGCAUGCACUUGGUGCUCUGAUAUUGAUGUGCUGUCUGGUUCAAGGAAUGGUCACAUCAAGGCCUGCUGUGGCUCAUAAACCCAAGGAAGACUUACGUCAAGUGCAGGAGAAGAGCAUACCUACCACAAUAGGAUGCCCCAAAGCAAUCACCUUUAUGGAAUGCAGAGGCAGGCAGUGUAAUAAGGUACUUAUUAAAAGAUAUGGUGACCAGGCUUGGAAUUCCAGAAAAGGUUGAUUCAAACCAAGGGAGCCAUUUCACAGUUCAAGUUUUAAAAAGGUGAUAUGAAACGUUAGGCAUCACCUAACACCUGUAUACCCCAUAUCAAUCACCAUCAUCAAGGACAGUGGAAUGAAUGAAUCAGAGCUUGAAAAAUACUGUAUUUAAUACUUGUGCAGAAA